GUUCAAAGCAAACAGUUAAAGCAUUUUACUGCGUUUGAAUACUACAGCAUGGAAUAACAAAAUUGAACAAGUCAAAACUCUGUUCYUUUUUCUUAUUUUGGCUUAGUUACGAUUAAUAGGAGUAGCUUGGGGGCAUUUGUAUUCAGAUGUCAGAGGUGAAAUUCUUAGAUUUUCUGGAGACAAACAACUGCGAAAGCAUUUGCCUAAA
rnacentral:rRNA from 1 species